GGAUUAGAUACCCUGGUAGUCUACGCCGUAAACGAUGGUUACUAGCUGUUCGGCCCAAUUGAGGGCUGAGUGGUUAAGCGAAAGUGAUAAGUAACCCACCUGGGGAGUACGUUCGCAAGAAUGAAACUCAAAGGAAUUGACGGGGGCCCGCACAAGCGGUGGAGCAUGUGGUUUAAUUCGAUGAUACGCGAGGAACCUUACCAGGGCUUAAAUGUAGUCUGACAGGUCUGGAAACAGACUUUUCUUCGGACAGAUUACAAGGUGCUGCAUGGUUGUCGUCAGCUCGUGCCG
rnacentral:rRNA from 1 species